rnacentral:rRNA from 1 species
GUGAACGCUGGCGGUAGGCCUAACACCUGCAAGUCGAACGGCAGCACAGUAAGAGCUUGCUCUUACGGGUGGCGAGUGGCGGACGAGUGAGGAAUACAUCGGAAUCUACUUUUUCGUGGGGGAUAACGUAGGGAAACUUACGCUAAUACCGCAUACGACCUACGGGUGAAAGCAGGGGAUCUUCGGACCUUGCGCGAUUGAAUGAGCCGAUGUCGGAUUAGCUAGUUGGCGGGGUAAAGGCCCACCAAGGCGACGAUCCGUAGCUGGUCUGAGAGGAUGAUCAGCCACACUGGAACUGAGACACGGUCCAGACUCCUACGGGAGGCAGCAGUGGGGAAUAUUGGACAAUGGGCGCAAGCCUGAUCCAGCCAUACCGCGUGGGUGAAGAAGGCCUUCGGGUUGUAAAGCCCUUUUGUUGGGAAAGAAAAGCAGCAGGUUAAUACCCCGCUGUUCUGACGGUACCCAAAGAAUAAGCACCGGCUAACUUCGUG